GAACACUCGUUUACCUUCAAAUUGAAUAAAUAGUUUGCCUUUUACUAAAGAUUUCUGUGGAGGGGAACACUCAGUUUGUGCUCCUGUAUUUUGUGGGACUGGUUAACCAAU